rnacentral:lncRNA from 1 species
ACCUCUUUAUAUCUAUGUAUAUUUUGCCAUCGUAAAAAAUGGGGAGAUUGUUAGAUCAUAUUUUAAUGAUGCAAUUAACAUGCAUGUGCAGGAGUUCAAAGAAGUAAAAAGGAACUAUUGGAAUGGCUAUGUCGAACAAGGAAGAAAUCAUUCACAAAGGAAGCUAUCUGAAGUACUCACAAUGUACAAGGAAAGAAACAGUACUACAUCAGCAAAUCAGGAUUAGCUCCAUGACUUAUGGGUAAUCAAAUAUGCCGUAACAAAAUAAAUAUUCAACGAAAUCCGUGAUUGACGAGUCAGAUCAAAUCACUGAAGACCAAUUAAAGCUGGAAGAUCCGGACAAUGGUCAAGAUUGGAAGGUCCAAUAAUCAAGGAAGAAUUCUGUCAAACCCGUCAUUUGCCAAAGAAAAAGUUCUGAAGAGAAGCAA